CGUGCUGUGAACGUAGCCGACCUACUCCAACGGUGGACCAACAACCAACUCAUCGCCACGACUGACGGAUCCACUACCAUUUAGAAGACGACCUGUCAGUCCUCACUCGACUACCCUGCCUGCGCUGACCAACGUCUGGGACUUGAAUGAACUUCUGGAGAUCCCGACGGGGCACUGCGAUAAACUGGCGGAUAUCGGAGGGACCUGGAUGUGUAGAGCCUUUGAUGGAGACAAAGAUGUAUGUUUGGACCCGUGGUACACACCCGCCUACAACUCGUGCCUGAUUUACUCGUUUGGUGUCGGCAACGACAUCACAUUUGAGAAGAUCAUGUCCGACCUCUGGGGCUGUCACGUCUUCCUGCACGACCACACUGUCAACCACACCCAGACAAUGGAAUGGAAAAAAUAUGGUUU